rnacentral:pre_miRNA from 1 species
AACUCACAUUAGGCAACCUGCUUCAGCUCGCCCAGCAAGUUGGCUAAUGUGAGUUCA